rnacentral:rRNA from 1 species
CGACGGUAACAUUUCUAGCUUGCUAGAAGAUGACGAGUGGCGGACGGGUGAGUAAUGCUUGGGAACUUGCCUUUGCGAGGGGGAUAACAGUUGGAAACGACUGCUAAUACCGCAUAAUGUCUUCGGACCAAACGGGGCUUCGGCUCCGGCGCAAAGAGAGGCCCAAGUGAGAUUAGCUAGUUGGUAAGGUAACGGCUUACCAAGGCGACGAUCUCUAGCUGUUCUGAGAGGAAGAUCAGCCACACUGGGACUGAGACACGGCCCAGACUCCUACGGGAGGCAGCAGUGGGGAAUAUUGCACAAUGGGGGAAACCCUGAUGCAGCCAUGCCGCGUGUGUGAAGAAGGCCUUCGGGUUGUAAAGCACUUUCAGUUGUGAGGAAAAGUUAGUAGUUAAUACCUGCUAGCCGUGACGUUAACAACAGAAGAAGCACCGGCUAACUCCGUGCCAGCAGCCGCGGUAAUACGGAGGGUGCGAGCGUUAAUCGGAAUUACUGGGCGUAAAGCGCACGCAGGCGGUUUGUUAAGCUAGAUGUGAAAGCCCCGGGCUCAACCUGGGAUGGUCAUUUAGAACUGGCAGACUAGAGUCUUGGAGAGGGGAGUGGAAUUCCAGGUGUAGCGGUGAAAUGCGUAGAUAUCUGGAGGAACAUCAGUGGCGAAGGCGACUCCCUGGCCAAAGACUGACGCUCAUGUGCGAAAGUGUGGGUAGCGAACAGGAUUAGAUACCCUGGUAGUCCACACCGUAAACGCUGUCUACUAGCUGUGUGUGUCUUUAA